rfam:Salmo salar isolate Sally breed double haploid chromosome ssa02, whole genome shotgun sequence.
UAAAGUCACUACUGGAAGUCGCUUUGGAUAAGAGCGUCUGCUAAAUGACUAAAA